GCAAGAUACCACGGGCGCACGGCGGAUGCCUUGGCACAGGGAGCCGAUGAAGGACGCGGCAAGCUGCGAUAAUCCCCGGCGAGGAGCACACAUCCUUCGACCCGGGGGUCUCCGAAUGGGCGAACCCAUGCACAGCAGUGUGCAUAUCCCCGGCCUGAACACAUAGGGCCGGGGAGGACAACCCGGGGAACUGAAACAUCUAAGUACCCGGAGGAGAGGAAAUCAAUCUCGAGACUCCCCGAGUAGCGGCGAGCGAAAGGGGACCGAUGGCCAAACCGUCGAGCGGGCAUACCCGGCAGGGGUUCCGCCGACGGGGUUGCAGGGCCGCGCAUCCGGGGGCUGCCGCCCCCGGGCGCAGGUCCGGCUGGGGAGCGGAACGGCAUGGGAGGGCCGGCCGCAGCGGGUGACAGCCCCGUACGCGAACCCAGACCGGACGGCGCGACGCGGUCCCUGAGUAGGGCCGGGCACGUGAAACCCGGUCCGAACCUGGGUGGACCACCAUCCAAGCCUGAGUACUACCCUGUGACCGAUAGCGCACCAGUACCGUGAGGGAAAGGUGAAAAGCACCCCGGGAGGGGAGUGAAACAGUACCUGAAACCGUGCGCCCACGAGCAGUCGGAGCACCUUUAUGGUGUGACGGCGUGCCUUUUGUAGAAUGAGCCAGCGAGUCGCUGGCGCGGGGCGAGGUUAACCGAAAGGGAGCCGAAGCGAAAGCGAGCCUUAACAGGGCGACUUGAGUCCCGCGCCGCGGACGCGAAGCCGGGUGAGCUAUCCGUGGGCAGGCUGAAGCGGGGGUAAGACCCCGUGGAGGGCCGAACGCACGUCGGUUGAAAACGGCGGCGAUGACCUGCGGAUAGGGGUGAAAGGCCAAUCAAACCCGGAGAUAUCUCGUUCUCCCCGAAAUAGCUUUAGGGCUAGCGUCGCGCGUUCACCGCCGGAGGUAGAGCACCGGAUGGACGAGGGGGCUUCGCCGCCUACCGAAUCCAACCGAACUCCGAAUGCCGGCGGCCCAGAGCGCGGCAGUCAGAGCAUGUGGGCUAAGCUGUGUGCUCGAGAGGGAAACAGCCCGGACCGCCCGCUAAGGUCCCCAAGUUCCAGCCGAGUGGCAAAGGAUGUGCGUCCGCCCAGACAACCAGGAUGUUGGCUUAGAAGCAGCCAUCCAUUCAAAGAGUGCGUAACAGCUCACUGGUCGAGUGGACAUGCGCCGACAAUACACGGGGCUAAGCUGGACACCGAAGCGGCGGGAUUUUGAUUUUCAGAAUCGGUAGGGGAGCUUCCCAUGGGCGGAGAAGCCGGAGGGCGACCGACGGUGGAGCGCAUGGGAGUGAGAAUGCUGGCAUGAGUAGCGAGAGACGAGAGAGUAACUCGUCCGCCGUGAACCCGAGGUUUCCUGGGCAAGGCUAAUCCUCCCAGGGUCAGUCGGGGGCUAAGGCGAGGCCGGGAGGCGUAGCCGACGCGCAGCAGGCAGACAUUCCUGCACCGCGCACGCGGCGCUACGACCGACGGGGCGACGGAUGGGGGUGGCUCGGCGGGGUUCUGGACGUCCCCGUGAUGGAGCGCGGCCCGCGGACCAGGGAAAUCCGGUCCGCACGAGGGCGAGGCUCCGGACGAAGCGACUGAGCGAAGCGAGUGAGCCCGAGGUCCCUAGAAAAACCCCUAGGCAGGCGCGUGCGCGCCCGUACCGCAAACCGACACAGGUGGGUGGGUAGAACAUACCGAGGCGAUCGGGUCAACCAUGGUCAAGGAACUCGGCACAAUGGCCCCGUAACUUCGGGAGAAGGGGUGCCCGCGCGUACGUGAACGGACUUGCUCCGGGAGCGGAGGCGGGCCGCAGUGGAGAGGCCCAAGCGACUGUUUACCAAAAACACAGGACUCUGCAGAAGCCGCAAGGCGACGUAUAGGGUCUGACGCCUGCCCGGUGCCGGAAGGUCACGCGGAGGAGUUAGCGCAUCGCGCGAAGCCCCGAAGCCAAGCCCCGGUAAACGGCGGCCGUAACUAUAACGGUCCUAAGGUAGCGAAAUUCCUUGUCGGGU
rnacentral:rRNA from 1 species